rnacentral:rRNA from 1 species
UCGCCUACGGGGGGCUGCAGUGGGGAAUAUUGGACAAUGGGGGCAACCCUGAUCCAGCCAUGCCGCGUGAGUGAUGAAGGCCCUAGGGUUGUAAAGCUCUUUUGUGCGGGAAGAUAAUGACGGUACCGCAAGAAUAAGCCCCGGCUAACUUCGUGCCAGCAGCCGCGGUAAUACGAAGGGGGCUAGCGUUGCUCGGAAUCACGUGGCGACAAGGGUGCGUAGGCGGGUCUUUAAAUCAGGGGUGAAAUCCUGGAGCUCAACUCCAGAACUGCCUUUGAUACUGAAGAUCUUGAGUUCGGGAGAGGUGAGUGGAACUGCGAGUGUAGAGGUGAAAUUCGUAGAUAUUCGCAAGAACACCAGUGGCGAAGGCGGCUCACUGGCCCGAUACUGACGCUGAGGCACGAAAGCGUGGGGAGCAAACAGGAUUAGAUACCCCUGUAGUCUC